rnacentral:misc_RNA from 1 species
GACUUCUCUCAACCACAUCGUCUUUUCAAUGUGGCUUGGAUGUGGGGGAAUUUCUUUGCAGGCCUUCAAUUAUUAAAGGCCUGCUCCCCUGAAAUGCAUUAGUGGUGUCUGAGCUGCUAUUGGUGUGAUAAUUUAUCUAUGCCUUUGGUAAUUGCUGGUCAGCACCGCUUAUAACAACACAUUUGACAA